rnacentral:other from 1 species
AUUUCCCUGCGCUGCACGUCGGAGAAUUUAAGAUUGGUGAGCCAACACCACUUUUAAGGGAGCUUAACUUCAAAUCAUCCGUGGAUGAUUUGAGAGAGCACCCACUUAGAGAUAAGGGUUCAACCUAUCCUUAUCCGACGGCAAGCGCGGGGUUUUU